rnacentral:rRNA from 1 species
AGUCGUUCUGCCCAUUGAAUUUAAAAGGCUGCGGUAUAUUAACUGUACAAAGGUAGCAAAAUAAAUAGUUUUUUAAUUGAAAACUUGAAUGAAAGAGUUAAUAAAAUAUAAAUUGUCUCAAAUAUAUAAUUUAAAUUAAAAGUUAAAAUGCUUUUAUUUAUUUAUUAGACGAUAAGACCCUAAGAAUUUUAUAAUUUAAUUAAUUUAUAUGAAAAAUUUAUUUAUAUUUAAUUUAUUUUAUUGGGAGGAUAAUUAAAUUUAACUUUAAUUUAAAAAAAUAUUUUUAAAUAAAUUUAAUGAUUAAUUUUUUAAUUAUAAGAAUUAAUUACCUUAGGGAUAACAGCGUAAUAAUUUUGGAGAGUUCAUAUUGAUAAAAUUGUUUGCGACCUCGAUGUUGAAUUAAAAUAAAAAUUAAAUGAAGAUAUUUAAAUUUUUAGUCUGUUCGACUAUUGAAAUUUUAC